CUACGGGAGGCAGCAGUAGGGAAUUUUGCGCAAUGGACGAAAGUCUGACGCAGCAAUACCGUGUGUGGGAAGACGCCCCGUGGGGUGUAAACCACUGUCGGGAGGGACGAAUUAAUGACGGUACCUCCAAAGGAAGCACCGGCUAACUCUGUGCCAGCAGCCGCGGUAAUACAGAGGGUGCAAGCGUUGUCCGGAUUUAUUGGGCGUAAAGAGUUUGUAGGCGGUUUGCCAAGUCUGAAGUGAAAGAACGGAGCUCAACUCCAUCCCCGCUUUGGAAACUGGCAGACUAGAGAAUGUUAGAGGUAAGUGGAAUUCCCAGUGCAGCGGUGAAAUGCGUAGAUAUUGGGAGGAACACCAGAGGCGAAGGCGACUUACUGGGACAUUUCUGACGCUGAGAAACGAAAGCCAGGGUAGCGAAUGGGAUUAGAUACCCCCGUAGUC
rnacentral:rRNA from 1 species